AAAACGACUCUCGGCAACGGAUAUCUCGGCUCUCGCAUCGAUGAAGAACGUAGCGAAAUGCGAUACUUGGUGUGAAUUGCAGAAUCCCGUGAACCAUCGAGUCUUUGAACGCAAGUUGCGCCCCAAGCCUUCUGGCCGAGGGCACGUCUGCCUGGGUGUCACAAAU
rnacentral:rRNA from 1 species